GAGGCCACCGGGGAGGAGCCCGCCGGGACCGGUGCGACCCAGCAGCACGGCGGAGCCGGGACGUGCCCGAAGCGCCGGGAGGAAAGACCAGCCGGGGAUAAACGCCGCGGGGGCAGCGGGCGGGAAGGAGCCCCCCGGCGCUGAGCCAAGGGUGGCAAUGAAAUGUUACAGCAAGAGCCUGAAGCCGCAUAAAAGCAGAACGCAGCCAACACGUCUCCCAGCAGAAGGAGCUGAAGGGCAACCCCAACACAGACAGGUGGUCACCAUCACCCCGCUUCCACCUCCUGUGACGGACAGGUCUGACCCGCGCGAAGUGCUGGAAAGAGGUUAGGAGACAGCAAGCAUGCUCAGCGCCAGGUGUCUGCAAAGAGCUGAAAGUGGCUCAGUGUGGCACCAGGCAGAGCUGAGGAACCACGCCAGGCAGCAGCAGUGACCCCUGUGCCCACCGUCUUUCGAGCUUAUGGGUCCACUCCCUUUUCAUGGUGCAUCUAUGAGCUAUUAGCAGAUGAAGUGCUUUUUUAUAUAAUCAUUACAUACAUCAUGACUCUGCUGUUAACACCACCCCUUUUUUUCCUCCCACAUUUCAUGUUUACUAAUAGAGAAGGGGUCAGUAGUGUGCUAACGCAGAAGGAAUAGACACAGUCAAGUAUAAACUUACCUAAAUGGUUCAGCACUCAACUAAUACCAUCAUGGUAGCUGAAGUACACUCACUUCCCUCAGCACUUUACACCUUUCCCUGACCAGCUGCAUUUUUUUGUGUUUAAGACAAGCACUGAGUGUGGUUUUGCCUUACUCAAGCCGGUUUGUUGUUCAACUGCAGGGGAAGUAUCAUCUUCAAUUCAUUCACCUGAAAAUCCCUUAACAAGUUAAGAUGCACCAAGGCCUACCGAAAGUGGACCUUAAUAUUCCUCUAUAUAGUAAGCAUACAGUAUAAUUCAGUUUCAUUACAGUUAGUCUUAUUUUUCAUGCUGAUAUUAUAUGUGCUUUCACAUGAGACUAAACAGCAGAAGCACCUGCAUUUGGAGGUCCUUUAUGUGCUUUUUUUUUUUUUUUAAAUAAUCUUAUAUUCCCUAGUAAGUAUUGCAGAUAACAGGUGUGCUUAUUGUACAAGUGUUCAUUCUGCAAAGUUUCAACACAAGAAAACAUACCUGGAAUUGGACAUUUUUCAAGGACAACAAAGAGAUACCUAGUAUUUCUUCCCUCAGCCUAAGAAUUUGCUUUCCAAGCUGUGAACCUCUGAUGAUUCCUUGGAGAAGUGUGGAUACAAAAUAUACAAUACUCGACAAAGCAGGCACAGAACCUUGAGGGAAAUACAUAACAUUUUGCAGUGUAAUAGAUAACAUCAGAAAUGUGGCUUCCCUUUUCCUGGGGUUCCACUGAAACAAAGGGCAUUUUUUUUCUCUCCUAUCCUUCCAGGAAUGGAACAACACAAAGAGAAUAUAGAUGGUAUCACAAAGAAAGAUGAGGAUGCUUUAGUCUUGUUUUACUCCUUGGAAUUAAUGAGUUUGCAAAGUUUUUUUUUUUUUUUAAAUAAAGAUUCACUAAAAGUAGUUGCACACCAUGUUUUCCUUCCCCUUGAAAAACACUCCAUGAAAGCAACCAAUAAAAUUCUAAUUAAUGAGAAUAAGUUAAAUUUCUUGUCUGUCUCUGUUAAGCAGGUUGUAUAGUUGUCUAGGGGACAAAAGCUAAUGGUAGAGGUUGUGCCUCCAAGCAUAAACUAAGGUUUAGAUUUUGUUCUGAUUUCAUUCUUUGACUUGUGCCAUUUGUGGAUUAUGUCAUCCAUGGAUGCACCUCCUGGAAAGCCCUUAAAAUGAUGCAUAAGUCUUGAUAGGAAAAGUAUGUGAAUUCAUCAUAAAUUUAAAAUAAUCUUAGAACAAAAUAUUUACAGCUUUCUGCAUCCUAUCCAAAUUUAAUGACUUAAUGUAUGUUUAUCAGAAUGAUGUAUAUAUAUAUACACACACAUAACAUCAUAGAGCACUGAUGAUUCUGCUGGCUAAAAAUUGUUUCCUCAAAUACCUUAAACAAAUCAUCUUCCUCAUAAUACAUCUCUUAAAUGGUCGUUUCAUUCUGCAAGCAGAAAGCAUCUCUGACUCCAGUUGAAAUAGAUGAAGAUUUUUAGUUAAACUGCAGAGAAGAAAUUAGCUGCAAAAUGUACAUGACUGAAUACAACCUGGGUCAACCUGGAAUUCAGUCUUUAAAAUUAUAUAUAUCUGUACAUAAUUUUGGAGCAAUUGUGACUGAUAAGGACAAUAAAACAACCUCUGCUUGCAAGAGAAUUUGGAAGUUUUCUUCCAUCUUAAGAAGGAUUACAAGCAUAGUGUGCCUUCUCAUUCACGUACAGACAAUGUCUGUCUACUGACUAAAAAUGUUUGGAACAUAAUGAAAUGGCAAGUAUAUUUUCACUCUUUCAUAUUUUUGCAGAAACAGUUGUAAUUGUACUACUUAGUUUCUCAGCAUUGCAAAGCAGCAUAAUAAACUGUUUUCUGGAGACAGAUAGCUCAGACCCUGCUGCUUAAGAAUAUUCAAUAGAAAUGACAUGAAAUGAGCUUUUUAAGGUGUGACUCAGUCAUGAGAGAGCCGUACAAGGGCUGCUACUGCUGAUAGAGAUGUUUAUCGUCAUCUCAUCUACGUAACAAUGAGAAAGCCAGGAACCUGAAGGGAGUGAGGAGGAGACUGAAGAAAAGCAUGCUUAGAAAAGAAACCGCUGUGAAGUGAAAAAUUGUUGACUAUCCAGUGGUAAAAUAGAAAGCUUGAAAAACCCCACAGAAGAAGGAAAAGAUCGUCUAUCAGCAACACCCACACAUAUGUGUGUCAUUGCUCUGCCCUUCUGCUACACUGACGUGCUUGGUGGAAACGUUGCAGUUCCCUGGCUGGACAAACUGUGUCACGCCUGUCAGCAACAGAAGUUCUGUACAGUGCUGCUUUCUCGCUGCAGGAGGCAACGUGUGCAGCCAAGCAGUUUUAGCCGUGUAACUGCCACAUCAGCAGGACAGGGGAGAAGGAUGCCUGACAACUAGAAGAAGACAAGGAGGCCAGGAGGAGAGAGGAUGUUAAGAGGACUUGAGAGAAAAAGUAUAGAAGUACCGGCUAAGGUGCCAACUGUUCACUUUCAAGGAGGAUUUACCAUAAAAUUCCAUGAUAAUAGCAAGCUUAAGCUCUCUAAAUAAAACAGAUUUUUAAUGGACUUCUGAGACCUGAUGUAAAAAGGAUGGGUGGAUCCCAGGAGAAACAAAAUGCUUGCAUGUAUAAGAGAUAUCUGCCAGAAAUACAUGGAUGACCAUUUACUACAGCAGCAGCAGAAUGUGCCUGCUAUGGCUACUACUUCUAAAACAAAACAAAAGGAAACAGCAGAAAUAAAAAACCAGUCACUGGCAAGAAUAUCUCCUUGCUGUAAAUUGGAUAGGUUUUAAAAAAUUGACAGCACUGUUCCUUCUGUUCUGAACAGGAGAUCUCCAGGUCCAGAACAACUCAUCAUAAAGAUACCUUCCUUAAUUAGAGUAGAAGUCACAUAUUUUGGGUCCACAUGAAGGUAAUAAGUGGUAGCAGUUAUAUGAAAUUAGAGGCAGGUGUGGUUACUAACAAAAGCGGAAGUAAAAACAAAUAACAUGCCAGGUGCUGAAGAAACUCCCAGAUAGGAAGUUUUGCGUACACUGUGAGCCCAAAUCUAAUCUGAUCUGAAGCUGAAAUUUGACUGCUAGUCCAAACCAUAUAUGUUUUUGCAUUUUGAAUGCAGGGAGAUUGUAAGUAUAUGCUUACUUCUGAGAGUAGUCCUCCAGAGAUUUGCUUUGUUUCCUUAUAGAAUUAUGAAGGUAAGUCAGCAUAUUGCCCAGAAAGUGUUUUUUUUUUUUUUUUUUUUUUUUUUUUUUAAACAACUACUGACAUCAUAAUUUGGCAAAUUGAUCUUAAAAAGAUUAAGUAGCUAUGCUGUGGUAAAAUAAAACAUCCAUUUCCCCUAAAAAAAUAUUUCCUGAUGCAUAUGCAACAAGUAUUACUAAUGAAGGAGAAAAUAAAUCAUUUAAAUCCCCGGGACUUAAUGUUGAAGUACUUUUCUUUUUCAGUAAGUAGCUAAAAAAGCAGAAGAGCACACAGACAAGGAAUCAUUUUACUGAAAAGAACUAGUUUUAAUUCCAGUAAUUUAGGGAAUCGAGUGAAUACCUCCUGAAAUAAGUAUUCUACAGUCAUUUUAGAUCAUUGGUUUGUGGUUUUUAUUGCCAAGUAAUAGUAAAAUUGAGCAAAUAAGUAUAUUUCUAGUACUUCAGCCUCAGAAUGUCUCCCACAGGAAGCAACAUGAAAAUAAUUUGGCUAGUAGUUCCUUUAUUUGUUGAUCCUCAGCUUCUUUGCAGGUCACGUUAAAUAAAGAGGCAAUAGCAAAAGGCAGUGUUUUUCAUGAAUUACUCAAGUCAAAUGAGCCAGAUGUGGCAGAACUAAGAAAUAGCAGGGCCUGAUACACUCUUUUGUUAAUUCCACUAAUUCUAGCUUAAUACUGGAGUAACACUGGUAAAAAGCGACCCAUAUUUUAAUUUAAAACCUCUAAUAUUCAUCUAUUAUUUAUAAGAAUAUAUAACAAAUAAUUGUGGCAAACAUUGCAUAAUAAACAUGAAAGGGAGAUUAACCUUGUGAAUUUUUAAGCUGAAGAAUAAAGACCAUUACAUUAAUAAGACUUAAUUAUAUCAUAAAAUAUUUAAAAUUAUGUCCUCUAAUAAAUGUUGUUUUUAUUUAACAUAUUUCUUUUUUUAAUCUAUUACUUUAGUAAAAUGCCUUUAAGAUGGAAACAAAAGGCAGCAGAGCUUUCUUUGUUGAUAUCUAUGCAAUUAUAGAAGAAGGGAGCCACAUGUCUUCAAGUCAAGGUCAGAUUUCAGGACAGAACAGCCUAUACUUCCGCAAGGCUCAACUCCUGGCCUAGAUGGGCUGGUGGGGGGCUGCAUCUUCAACCUUCCCUCUUCCCUCCAAUAAUGCCUCAAUUUUAUAAGACUGGCUUGGCUCUAUCCACAAUAAUGACUUAAAUAAUACAUGUAAAGCUCACCAGUUAAGUUUCUAGUCUUCCACUUACCAUGUAACACUACAAAAAAAAGGUAUAGAGGACAGCAUUCAAACACCAGCUUCUAUUCUGCAUGGGUAAGUUCACCCUUACUAUUGCAGACAAAUAGCAGGUGUAAAAGCAAUAGUAGGAAAUGAUAAGGAAACCUUCAGUGAAGUUAGCAUCUUGAAAGAUACAGCAAGGGUCAUUCUGUUUGCAAAAACUGGAAGACACGGGCUUUGCAAGGAAUACAGCUGACUCCAAUAUCCUUGUGUCCAUGUCACAAGUCCUUUUCUUUACAAUAGUUCAUCUCAGCUUAUUUCCUCAAGAAAUUACUAUUGUUCUUCAAAAGACAAAACCUAAGAAGUUGCAGUGAAAAUCAAACCAAACACCAGGCAAUUAUUCAACUCACACCAGACAAGCCAAAUGUCCUGGAAGAAUUUUUUUUUUUCUCCAGCACAACUCCAUAACUUUUGAUGUCUUCCUAUAAUUAUAACAUUUCGAUACAGCAUUUCUCUCUUGAGCCCACUGUUCUUUGUGUCUUGUCUAUACUGCAUAUCCAGGUAGCCUGCAUGCCUCAGCUUUCAACUGAAAAAACUAUGCUCUAUAUAUAUUUGCAGAAACACUGAUUAAAAUCAACUGCAAACACUAACAAAUCAAAUCUACCUCAUCAACAUUACAGAUUUAUCACAGUAAGGCUACAAUGUAAUGGUCUUUUAGUGGAAAUUCUCUUCAUUUACAAUCGCACAAAUACGAGGCCCUAUCCAUGAAGCUGUUUUGCUUUUUUCCAGCUAAGUCAUUCUUUUCUGUUUACUAGAGUAGUGCUGUUUCUGAUUUCAUCCCUACAAAUUCUGUUUAUUUUUGUAAUAUUCUUUUGACUUGUCUUCUGUAGAUUAUGUGUUUUGUUGCUACAAUUGUCUUCCCACUAUCCCUCACCAUUUCCCACUCACACAUCUGUCAUCAUCCAUACUGUAAUUACAGAAAUGUUAUUUGCUGGUAGACAGAUGCAUAGGGUUGCUCACAGGAGUACUGCCAUUAUUCAGUGCAAAUAGUAUACAGAAUAUUAAAGAAUCAUAGGAAUCAAGUUUUACUAAAAGAGUAUUCUGCAAGUUACCAAAACAAACACUGAACUAAGUGUGGUUCUUGUUUACACAUUGGACAACUGUCAUCUAAAACUAGGUAACAUUUAUUUCAAUCUGGCAGCUCCAAGUGCACUGGAGAUACAAAGUCUUUUAAUUAACAUGCACGGUACUGCAAAUAUACACAGGUGUAGACAUCUUUCAGUAGGUAUAGCUGCCAGUCACAUCACAUUGCUACAGUUGUUUGUUUUUUUUUUUUCCUUUCAAUGAACAAGUGAAAAAUGGGGUUAAAAAGCAAACAAGCACUGAGCCUUCACUUCAGUAUCUUCCUGAAAAUAAGGCAUGACAUUACUUGGAAUAGCUAUAAAAAUGAGUAGUUUGUCUUUUUUGAGCAGCAUCAUAUUAUACUGCUUUAUUUAACUAAGAGUCAAGAAGCAGCACACAUAAUAAGUAGGCUUCCAUUAGAGAUACUUUUUUUUUUUUUAAGAGUUAUUUAGCUUUGCUUUGAAGUUUUCAUAAAUAAGGCACCUGUUUCCAACUGUCUAAAGAAUCAACAAGUUAUAUAGUACUUAAUAUUAAAAAUGUUCAUCUGUAGAACAAAUAAGGAAUACAGCAUCUAUGAUAGGUAAAAUGGAUCACUGCUGAAAUACAAGGAAUAGAAGUCUUCCUUAACAUACAUACAAACCAACAUAGUUAAGCCAACAUUGAAAAACCCCUGGCAAGUAUUUAUCAUCAUGCCACUAAAAUUUCACCUUGGAAUGUGUUUCAGCUAUACACAACAGCAUGUAAAAGGCUCCACAUCUAGCCUCUACAUUGGUUAAGCUGGAAAAGAAAGAGUGAAGAUAGUGCCAGUACAGAAAAGAAUGAUGGAAACAUUGCAUCGAAGAUGCUUUCCCAUGGUGAUUCUGCCUUUCCCUUUGACUUCAGCCAAAGCAGAAGAUUCUCAGCAGCAUGCCCCACGCUUUUUCCCCUCCCAAACGCUAGCCUUGCAACUGCCAUAACACAAAAGCACAUAUAGGGGCAUGAGUACACAAAUGCACAUAUAGACUGCUCAUACUGUAGAGGCUUACAAGUGCUCAGUAUAUUGUAAGAUCACUUCUGAAAAGCCAGCAACUGCUGUCAUUGAAUAAGAUAGGAUUUACCACUUGCUUUUUAUAGUUCAGCCCAGACAUGUUUAGAUGAGUGUAUGGUUUUCACAUAAAGCUUUCUGUUAAAGUGCCUUCAGACAGACUUUUAGUCUCCACACAACAGUUCACUGCACACCCUCACUGAGUUGUCUCAUAUAUAAUUUAAAUGUUUAAUGCAAAGUAAAGCUAAUGUUAACAAUACAUAUUUUUGAAGACUGACAGUAUAAUGCUUUGUUUCCUAAAGGAAUAACUAGAGUGAUCCAUAAGCAAAUAUAAACUCAAGUAACACUGAACAGAUAUAAAUUGUGCUCAUCCUUGAGAAACCUUAGAGAGCAUGAUUCUCAUCCUCCUUCUUAGCUAGGCAAAGUGCGAUUUACUGUGGUUUUCUUUCAGAUGAGGUAUUAAAAGCUGCAGUGCACUCCCUAAUGUAUUAGUAUGAAUGAUACUUUUGGAACUGUGAUGUCUGAUAAACACUGCGUGCUGCUGACUGAUGGCUCUUUCUAGCCUAGAAUGAUACUUUGACUUAGUAGGUUUGUGUGAGCUCAGAGCAAAAGCUAAGAAUAUUUAGAAGCUGAGGAUUUAAAAUUAGUAUAAAUAUAAUAUCAUUCAAAUUAAUAGGAAUAUCCUCUCAAGCCAUCCUGAAUGUUCCUUUAGGGUUUUCCCUUGCAGGAAAUUACUGGAUAUUAUCCUAGCACGGUUCUGGACAUUCUUUACAGCUAAUCAUUCUCCAAGCCCAUGGAUGACAAUCCCCAUAAGCAGGAUCAGAGACAGCAGAGUCAUCCUCCUUGUGAACAUGCACAUUCUCUUGUGUCCUUGCUGCAAGGGCCCCAGAUUCUUUUAUAAACCACUCAGAAGCAGCAGUUCUGCUAACUGUAUGAUUAAUACCUGCUCAAUAAGAAGGUGGUAUCUUCCACAUACAAUAAAUGUAGAUGAUUGUGACAACAACGCUGAGGAAAUGAUUUAGAAAUGGGUAAAAAGAUAAACUCAGAAGAUUAAUCUUUGGCAGUUUUUCUUAAGCUGUGUUAUUGUCUACUGUGUAUAGUAAAUACACAUUAAAUAAAAGAGAACUUUCUUACUAA